rnacentral:rRNA from 1 species
UACGUAGGCAGCGAGCGUUGUUCGGAAUUACUGGGCGUAAAGAGUGUGUAGGCGGUGCUCUAAGUUCGGUGUGAAAUCUCCCGGCUUAACUGGGAGGGUGCGCCGGAAACUGGAGUGCUCGAGCGUGGGAGAGGGAAGCGGAAUUCCUGGUGUAGCGGUGAAAUUCGUAGAUAUCGGGUAGAACACCAGUGGCGAAGGCGGCUAUCUGGACGGACACUGACGCUGAGACGCGAAAGCGUGGGGAGCAAACAGG